rnacentral:antisense_RNA from 1 species
CUCAAUACGUAUUUAUCGAGAAUCUACUACGUAAAAUGCAAUGUUCACAGCAUCUUCACCAGGAGAAGAUUCUAUCUUAAGGAAACUCUUUUCUCAUGCAUAAGAAGCACCUCCUUACCUGUUAAAAGUUUAAUCAUGAGAUUGCAGGAAUUCAGUCACAUCUUCAGGCUCCACUUCUAAUUCUAGUUCUCUUGGUAUUCCACCACACCUGCAGUGACUUCCUCCACCGAAGUCUUGAACCUCUCAAAGUCAUCCAUGAGGGUUGGAAUCAACUUCUUCCAAAGUCCUGUUAAUGUUUGUAGUGUUAUGAAAUAUAUAUACAUAUAGGUUUUCAUACACAGGAAACAGAAUCUCUUUGACCUUCUCUUGCCUUCCUUUUACUUGCCUUCCUUUCACCUACCCCAAAGCAGGACUCUAAUCUUCUGCUUUUAUAAUUGUGGAUCAUAAGACUCAUUUCAGAGAGGGUCCCAACCCAUGGCCCGGGGGAAGGAAUGCUGAUGUAAUGAAGCUUCCAUAAAAAUUCAAGAGGACAGCUUCCUGAUAGCUGAACAAGUGGAGGUUUCUGGGGAAUGGCUACCCGGGGAGGGCAUGGGAGCUCUGUGUCCCUUCCUCCAUACCUCUCCCUAUGCAUCUCUUCAUCUGGAUCCUUCGUGAUAUCCUUUAUAACAAACUGGUAAAUGUAA